GCCAGUGUGGUGUAGUGGUUUGGAUGUAGGGCUGGGAUUCUGGAGAUCAGGGUUCAAAUCCCCGCUCAACCA